rnacentral:lncRNA from 1 species
CACCCACCGGAAUAAGAGGGGAGCGUUAAUUCCGGGUGGUGCCAACUACCGGGACAAAAAAAACUGGAAUUUUUUUUUCACGCAUGUGCAUCUACUUAACUCUCUCUCGUCUCACGAUCUCUCUCCCAGGCCACAUCUUUCCUUUGUUUCUUGCGCUGCCUUAUCCUCUUCCCUCUCGAUCUCUCUCCCUUUUCUUCCACGCCAGAUCGGGCACCCAACGGCCAACUAGGCGAGUGGCGACGCUGCGGUGCGGGCCCGCGGCGAGCUGAGCAGCGCAGCGGCGGCUUGAGCCCGCAGCGGCGGUUGGGGCCGCGGUGAGCGGCGGUGCGCGGCAGUGGCUCGGGCCCGUGGCGAGCGUCGCGGAAUGGCGGCGGCUGGGCCCUGGCGGGCGCCGGCGGGGGUGGCGCGGCCAGGCCCCAGCGCGCGGUCGCACGGCCUAGCCCCGGCGAGCGGCGCCGCACAACGGCGGCUGGGCCCCAGCGGGCACCGGCGGGGCGCGCACAGCCAGGCCCAGCAUGCGGCGGCGCGGCCUAGCCCCGGCGAGCGGCGCUGCGCGGUGGCGGCUGGGCCUCGGCAGGCACCGGCGGGGCGGCAUGGCUAGGCCCCAGCGUGCAGCGGCGCGGCCAGGCCCGGUGGGGGCUGCGGAUCCUAGCGCCGGUGGGCGGCGGCGCGCAAGGGCGAGCUUGUUUUUUACUUUUUUUUUCCAAAUAUGUAUAUAUGUCCGGGAUUCAUCCGUGAAUGAUUCCUUGAUGAUUGUGAUUGAUUUUGUGAUUGCAAUUUGAAGAAAUAUUUGGAUUCGGAGAAGCUGGCCUACGAACGCGAGCUGGCGAGCCGAUUUUUUUUCUGAAAAAUUUCAUUAGUUUCGGUUGCAUAGCUGCCGGGAUAAAAGGGUCAGACACGUUAGUCUGGAUAGAUAGUUCCGGUUGGGAAACCGGGACUAAUGGACGAUUUUGUACUAGUGAUAGAAGAAAAAUUUUAAAUAAUGAGUGGUAACAUCUAACGGUACUAAAUGGUUACGAUCACAAUUGUUAU